AUAACUCAAAAUUUAUUUAUAUAUACUACUCAUAUGUGAACUUAAGACUUAAACCCUAGAGAAAAAGUUUAGUUAAGAAGAGAUGGCACGUAGUAGCAGAAAUAUUAGGGUUUUGAGCUUAGCCAUUUUGUUGGUUUGUGUUAUUGUAGCUUGUAGUCUUUUGGACGGAGCUUUUGCACAGGCAGGAUACGGCAUUGGCACCUUGAAUGAAGAGAGCAAUAUUGGCAAAUUUCAUGCAGCUCUAACUCACUGCAAUAGUGCUGAUGUUGAAAAUCAAAGUUGUUGUAAAGCACUCAAUGCUUUGGAUCUUGCAUGGAACUCUUUGCUUGGAAGGAAUUUCGUAGAUGAUCUCUUCAAAUGUGGUGUUAUUCAACAACGUUGAGCACUUGACGGACUUGUCAAGUUUCGUCUAACAAGAGACCAGCCUUGUGCUUUGACCUCUGAUUUUCCAUUAUGUCUUGACA